CAGUAGCCGCGGUAAUACGGAGGGUGCAAGCGUUAAUCGGAAUUACUGGGCGUAAAGCGUGCGUAGGCGGUUCGUUAAGUCUGUUGUGAAAGCCCCGGGCUCAGCCUGGGAAUGGCAAUGGAUACUGGCGAGCUAGAGUGUGUCAGAGGAUGGUGGAAUUCCCGGUGUAGCGGUGAAAUGCGUAGAGAUCGGGAGGAACAUCAGUGGCGAAGGCGGCCAUCUGGGACAACACUGACGCUGAGGCACGAAAGCGUGGGGAGCAAACAGGAUUAGAUACCCCUGUAGUCCCUGUCUCUUAUAC
rnacentral:rRNA from 1 species